rnacentral:lncRNA from 1 species
UUUAUUUUACAUAUGUAUUUAUUGUUUUUAUUUGGGUUUUUAUAAUAAGUGAUGUGCUUUUUAGUAAUGAAGUUUCUUUUAAUGUUUCGAUAGGUUUUUGGAGCUUAAAUGAAUUAUUUCAGAAAAUUCAACGUCAGAAUUCGGAACAAAGAAUUGAAGAGAAAUUUAGUUGAAGAUUGAAGCAAAUCUUGGUUCAAAUUAGUGCUCUAAAUUUGCCCCAAAAAUCAAUUCUAUUCCAAUUCUAGAAAAGAAUAUCAUAUGAUCUAUUUCAAGCCCAAACUUGCCUUAUGUUGUGUGCAAACUUCAACCAUCAAACACUCAAGGUUUCAAUGUCAAUCUUAGCCCAAAUAAUAUGUACAUUUGUAUACUUAUUUGAUGCUCAAAUUCAGCCUCAAGUUCAGCCCCAAAUCAGCCUCCAAAUCAGCCCAAGCACAAUCCAUGAUCUUACAUGUCCACACAACAAAUAACAUUUGAUUUAUUUUGGGCAAUUAAUUGAUCCAAGAGGGAAAGCACAUGGAUGGAAAGCUGGAGGGGACAUUGUGACAUUAUUUUGGGUCAAAAAGAAGAAAGAAACAGCUCAUAAAGGAGGAAGAAAAACGUGCACCAAAGUGUUCUCCAAGCUGGCCUGAUUUAAUUUUCCAGAACACCUUUCGGUGUUUUGCCCAUAACUGUUGACUCAUAUGUCCAAAUGAGCUGUUAUUUACUGAUCUGGAA